GUCUAUGGCCAUGCCACCCUGAACAAGCCUGAUCCCAUCUGAUCUCGGAAGCUAAGCAGGGUCGGGCCUGGUUAGUAUUUGGAUGGGAGACCACCUAGGAAGACCAGGUGCUAUAGGUG
rnacentral:rRNA from 1 species